rnacentral:rRNA from 1 species
GAUGAACGCUGGCGGCGUGCCUAAUACAUGCAAGUCGAGCGAACAGACGAGGAGCUUGCUCCUUUGACGUUAGCGGCGGACGGGUGAGUAACACGUAGGUAACCUACCUAUAAGACUGGUAUAACUUCGGGAAACCGGAGCUAAUACCGGAUAAUAUUUCGAACCGCAUGGUUCGAUAGUGAAAGAUGGCUUUGCUAUCACUUAUAGAUGGACCUGCGCCGUAUUAGCUAGUUGGUAAGGUAACGGCUUACCAAGGCAACGAUACGUAGCCGACCUGAGAGGGUGAUCGGCCACACUGGAACUGAGACACGGUCCAGACUCCUACGGGAGGCAGCAGUAGGGAAUCUUCCGCAAUGGGCGAAAGCCUGACGGAGCGACGCCGCGUGAGUGAUGAAGGUCUUCGGAUCGUAAAACUCUGUUAUUAGGGAAGAACAAACGUGUAAGUAACUGUGCACGUCUUGACGGUACCUAAUCAGAAAGCCACGGCUAACUACGUG